rnacentral:rRNA from 1 species
GACGAACGCUGGCGGCGUGCCUAACACAUGCAAGUCGAGCGGUCCUGCAUUCAACAUUGAGUAUUCAGCAGGCGUUGGAGAUGUAACCAGCGUCAAGCAGAAACGACUAUAUAUUAUAAUUUUUUGAAGUUUCUGCUUCACGCCAAAUCAAGUGCCAACACAAAGGGAGCUGAGUAUUGAAUGUUGAAUGCAGGAUAGCGGCGGACGGGUGAGUAACGCGUGGGCAACCUGCCUCAUACAGGGGGAUAACACAGGGAAACUUGUGCUAAUACCGCAUAAUAUCAUUGGGUGGCAUCACCUGAUGAUCAAAGGAGAAAUCCGGUAUGAGAUGGGCCCGCGUCCGAUUAGUUAGUUGGUGAGGUAACGGCUCACCAAGGCGACGAUCGGUAGCCGAACUGAGAGGUUGAUCGGCCACAUUGGGACUGAGACACGGCCCAGACUCCUACGGGAGGCAGCAGUGGGGAAUAUUGCG